GCCAAGGUCUGCAAGGAGGACAGAGAGCGGUGGCAGUGAUUCUUCACCCCCAGGAGACUGAUCUGAGCUCCCAGUGCCAGGGAAGGAGAGGUGCCUGUGCUGCCCUGGAGACACCUAGGAGCAGGCAGUCUACUGCAGGUAGAGCAGCCUGCAGGACUGGAUGUGGCUGGGCCCUGGGAAAGGGAUGACAGGAUGAGGGCAGGAAAGCAAAGCUGAGACCCUGCCCUGCCUUGGACCUCUGGUCAUGGGGCAGUGCAGGAUGGCCAGAGAGCAGCCCAGAGGGACUGGUGGCUCCUGCAGCUCACCCAGAACUUACCUCCUUCCUAGGCUUCUGUGUCCUCCUUACUGAUAUGUUUUCUUUAGGAAGGAAGAGAACAGCUCUGAAGCAGGCUUCUAGGAGUCUUCUCUUUUUGCCCUCCAGCACCUUUUCCACUGGGCUGCAAAGAGAAAGGGCCCAACUGGACAAUAACGGUGGGCUUCCAAGAUAUCCUGAACGAUUAAAUGGCAACAAAGAGAUGUCUGAAAGUGUACAACAGGCGAACUACCCAGUGAAUGAUCUUGCAGGAGUGCGCAGGCAUUUGUCGUGGACUGUCACUGCUCUGCCAAGUUGUGACUCCUCUUGCUUCUCUCUCUCUCGUGGGAGCUGGCUUUUUACCCAGCUGGGUGAGGUUGCCGGGCCCUCACCACUUUUCUAUGGGUGUCGCUACUGCAAAGGUAAUUUGUAGCAGCGGGGCAGUGGCAGCUAAUUGCCCAUACAGGGUGCAGGGCAAUAAAGAGGAAGGUUUGUGUUAUAGUUUCA
rnacentral:lncRNA from 1 species